AGUUGCGCAGGCGCGGGCGGAGUAUGGGGUCUCAGCUGCGUAGGCGCGGUGGCUGGCUUUUCUUUCUGCGGUGGUCUUGCGGUUUUCUCCAGUCCACAGCCGGGCUGGCGUCGGCCCAGAGAGGGGGGCUCGGCAGUCUGGUUCCCCGAGCGUCUCAGGGCGGGCCCUCGCCAGAUUCAAGGGGUUCCCUUGGCCAGUUUCCUCACGGCGCGGCGGAGCUGGCCCUCGUCGUCCCUGGCAGGGGGCAGCCUCACAGCCUGGACCGGCCUGUGCAAUUUCCCCCAUCCCUCCACGUCUACAUUUUAUUUUUUUCUUUUUCUUUUUUUAGGACAAUGCAUGAUGGAAAUGCAGCCACAUCAUAGCAGGCAGGUUCAUGAAAUCUGCCCUCCUCCCACCGUUUCUUGACCCCAUUUUCUUUUCUUUUCUUUUUUUUUUUUAACAGGGUCUCACCCAGGCUGGAGUGCAGUGAUGUGGUCUCGGCUCACUGCAACCUCUGCCUCCCGGGUUCAAGCGAUUCUGUUGCCUCAGCUUCCUGAGUAGCUGGGAUUACAGGCGUGCGCCACCACGCCUGGCUAAUUUUUGUACCUUUAGUAGAGACGAGGUUUCACCCUGUUGGUCAGGCUGGUCUCGAACUCCUGACCUAAGGUGAUCCGCCUGCCUCGGCCUCCCAAAGUGCUGGGUCUACAGGCAUAAGCCACCACACCCGGCCCUUGACCCCAUUUUCUGUCUUCCUAGAAAUCACCAAGGUUGCAACUCCUGACUGUCCUGGCUCACAGGCUCCAGCUUACUUAGGGACCCCACGGUGGGGGCUGCCCACGUGCACACCUGUGCUAGGCGCCCUCAUUCCCGCAAGGGCCAGAGCCCCUUCCCGGCCCAUGGCGUCUGGCCAAGGAGGUGUGGGUGCGCCCCAGCCAGGCCUGGUCCUAGAGGACGGCCCCACCUGCGCACUGGGGCAUCUGGGAGAGCUAUUGGUGGAAGAAGCCCAGGUUCCUGAAGCACCAAGUGGGCAAGAGUUUAUUUUCAGGAUGGGACGCUUUUGAGGGUGAAUAAGUGCUAGCUGUAUGGGAUGCGGGGACAGCAUACAGACCAGGCCUGGCAGCCGGGCAAUGCGGUGCCUGUUGGAAGGUCGCCCACAAGCACCUGGUUGGACACUGCCACUGAGAUUUGGUUAUUACAGAGGUUAGCCUAUGCGGGCCUUCACUGAUGGACCUUGAAGUGUUUCCCAGUUGCUUUGGGUUAGGAAUAAUGUGACUGGAUCCCGUGGACUGUCUUUGUGCAUGCAUGUGGGUAUAUCUGUCAGAAAUAUUCUUAGAGGUGGAAUUGGCUAUGGUGGGAUAUGUCCUUUAAAGUAAUAUAUUAGCCAAACAUGGCUAAAUUGCCCCCCUUAGACACUGUACUAAUUUACACUCUGGCAAAUAAUGUGUAAGACUGUGGGUUUCCACACAUCUUCACCAGUGGGGUCUUUCCAAACUUUUGGAUCUUUCCCAAUCCAAUAAUGACAAAACUAUAUCUCACGGUUUUAAUUUACACUUCCUAGUAUUUUGAGAUCCUGUCGUGAAGUGGUGAUGGCCCUGUUUCUGCUUGCUGCACUCGGCAACAUAUGUUAUCACUUCCUUUCUUUUCACCACUGUUUACUCUUAGAGUUUCUAGAAUUUGUGAAAGUAAAAUCUUUUUGCUGGCAUGGGCUUUUGUGUGUAUUAUACACUGCUUGGAAAGGUCUUGCACCACAUCUUCCCUUCGUAGAUUGUUUCUCAAUGUUUAAUACUCAGCUCAAAUGUCACCUCCUCAGACCAUUUUAUCUAGAAUGGCCUCCUCUAGUUAUUCUCUGUCACCUUUUAUGUUAUUUCCUUCAUAGCACUCAUCACACUGUAACCACCCAACAGCUUCUUCUUGCCUGUCGCCCAGAUAGAGCCAAUUUUUCAAGAUGGGAAUUGCAAUAGAGUUCGAUACACAUAGAGCUGGCUAAACAGGAGAGCAGAGGCUUAUUACUCCUCAAAUCAGCCUCUCCUCAAAUUCGGAGUCUAAGGAAUUUUUGGGGGGGUGGUUUGAGACAGUGUCUUGCUUUGUUGUCCAGGCUGGAGUGCAGUGGUGCAGUCUAGGCUCACUGCAACCUCUACCUCCUGUUCAAGCGAUUCUCGUGCCUCAGCCUUACAAGUAGCUGGGAUUACAAGCGCACACCACCAUGCCCAGCUAAUUAUUUGUAUUUUUAGUAGAGACAGGGUUUCACCGUGUUGGCCAGGCUGGUCUCAAACUCCUGCUCUCAAGUGAUUUGCCCUCCUUGGCCUCCCAAAGUGCUGGGAUUGUGCCAGUCUGGAGGCUAGGGUUUUUAAAAGAUAGUUUAGCAGUCAGGGGGCUAGGGAAUGGUGAGUGCUGAUUGGUUGGGUUAGGGAUGAAAUCCUGAAGAGAUGAAGCUUUCGUCUUGCUCUGGGUUAGUUCCUGGGUUGGGGUCACAAGACCAGAUAGCCAGUUUACCAGUCUGGGUGGCUAGUCCAUCACAAUGUGAUGUCUGAAAAAUACCUUGAACACCAAUCUUAUGUUAUAUAAUAGUAAUAUUAUCUAUUGGAGCAAUUAGGGAGGUUAGGAAUCUUGUGGCUUCGGGCUGCAUGACUCCUAAGCCAUAAUUUUUUUUUUUUUUUUUUUUUUUUGAGAUGAAGUCUUGCUCUUGUCCCCCAGGCUGGAGUGCAAUGGUGCGAUCUCGGCUCGCUGCAACCUCUGCCUCCCGGGUUCAAGCAAUUAUCCUGCCUCAGCCUCCUGAGUAGCUGGGAUUACAGGCACCUGCCACCACGCCCGGCUAAUUUUUAUAUUUUUAGUAGAGACAGGGUUUCACCAUGUUGGCCAGGCUGGUCUCGAACUACUGACCUCAGGUGAUCUGCCCACCCUGGCCUCCCAAAGUGCUGGGAUUACAGGCGUGAGCCAUCGCGCCCGGCCCAUAAAUUUUAAUCUUGUGGCUAAUUUGUUAGUUUCACAAAGGUGGUCUGGUCCCCAAGCAAGAAGGAGGUUUGUUUCAGGGAGGGGCUGUUAUAUUUGGUUUAAAGUGAAAUUAUAAACUAAGUUUCUCCACAGAUUUGUUUGGCCUAUGCCCAGGAAUGUGCAAAGGCAGAUUGGAGGUUAGAAGAUGGAGUCGGUUAGGCCAGCUUUCUUUCACUGUUGUAAUUUUCCUAUGUCAUAUUUUUCUUAUUGUCAUAAUUUUUGCAAAGACACAACAACCGUCGUUACUUGUUUGCCGACUUGUUUAUUGGUAAAUUCUUUGUUCCACUACUGAAAUGAAGCUCCAUGAGAACAAAUAAGUUGGUCUGUGCUGCUCACUGCUGCAUGUCUGGCACUCUGUCUAGAACAUGGUAGGUGCCUGUAGCAUACAUUAUUGGUGCUAAUGUCCCUUGCCUGCCUCUGCCAUCAGCUCUCUGAUUGUUGUGGAGAGUUCCCCUGAAUGCUGCCACCUCAAGCAUCUCGUUGCUGUCCUCUUUAGGGCUUAUCUUACGACUUUCUCCGGAAGCCUUGGGAGCAGGCGCAGCCUGGAAUUCAGGGAAAUUUAACAUCCCUGGGGCAACUGCAGGGCAGUUUGGGUGGCCUUGGACAGACCCAGUCCCCUUUUUACCAUGUAGUUCUCAGGAAUAACUGCAGAAUGUGCUAGGAUUGCAGCAUCUUGAGAUAAGGGAGAACUGGCUGAACAGCCCAAGGUCAGUUCCAGUCUCCUGCUGAAAAUAGGUUGUCCUUCAACACUGCCCAGCAAAUCACAUUACCCUGGGAUGUUAAACCCAGGGCAGGCUGCUCUCUGGCAUUCCUCGUCUGUGGUGCAAGUGGGGCAUGGCCAGUUGAGACUCCAUUUGCCCUGAGCAGAUUUCCUGAGCCUCGGGCAACCAGCUUGCAAUGAAUGCUCCUCUUGUCCCUUGCUGCCUGUCUCCCAGCACCUCACCCUCAGGAAGGGUGUUUCUGAAGACUGAUAAAGCCCCUUCAGUGAAUGGCGCCAGGGCACAGCUGUCCACGACAAAGUGAGGGUUAGUAACUGCAGUGAGGAAGCCACAUCAGAAGCCUCCUGCCUUCAGCAUGGGAUAGACAGGAUUGCGGAGAAGGGAGGAGUUCAGAUGGCCAGAUAAGAAUAGCUCCAGUCUGCAGCUCCCAGCAUGAUCCAUGCAGAAGAUGGGUGAUUUCUGCAUUUCCAACUGAGCCUCCGCUGGUGAUACCCGGGCAAACAGGGUCUGGUGUGGACCUUCAGCAAACUCCAACUGACCUGCAGCUGAGGGACCUGUUAGAAGGAAAACUAACAAACAGAAAGGAAUAGCAUCAACAUCAACAGAAAGGACAUCCACACCAAAACCCCAUCUGUAGGUCACUAACAUCAAAGACCAAAGAGAGAUAAAACCACAAAGAUGGGGAGAAACCAGAGCAGAAAAGCUGAAAAUUCUAAAAACCAGAGCACCUCUUCUCCUUCAAAGGAUCGCAGCUCCUCACCAGCAAUGGAACAAAGCUGGAUGGAGAAUGAUUUUGAUGAGCUGAAGGCUUCAGAAGGUCGGUAAUAACAAACUUCUCUGAGCUAAAGGAGGAUGUUUGAAACCAUUACAAGGAAGCUAAACACCUUGAAAAAAGAUUAGACGAAUGGCUAACUAGAAUAAGCAGUGUAGAGAAGACCUUAAAUGACGUGAUGGAGCUGAAAACCAUGGCAUGAGAACUAUGUGUUGCAUGCACAAGUUUCAAUAGCCAAUUCGAUCAAGUGGAACAAAGGGUAUCAGUGAUUGAUGACCAAAUUAAUGAAAUAAAGGGUGAAGAGAAGUUUAGAGAAAAAAGAGUAAAAAGAAAUGAACAAAACCUCCAAGAAAUACAAGACUAUGUGAAAAGACCAAAUCUACAUUUGAUUGGUAUACCUGAAAGUGAUGGGGAGAAUGGAACCAAGUUGGAAAACACUCUUCAGUAUAUUAUCCGGGAGAACUUCCCCAACCUAGCAAGGCAGGUCAACAUUCAAAUUCAGGAAAUACAGAGAACACCACAAAGAUACUCCUUGAGAAGAGCAGCCUCAAGACACAUAAUCAUCAGAUUCACCAAGGUUGAAAUGAAGGAAAAAAUGUUAAGGCCAGCCAGAGAGAAAGGUCGGGUUACCCACAAAGGGAAGCCCAUCAGAUUAACAGGAGAUCGCUCAGCGGAAACUCUACAAGCCAGAAGAGAGUGGGGUCCGAUAUUUAACAUUCUUAAAGAAAAGAAUUUUCAACCCAGAAUCACAUAUCCAGCCAAACUAAGUUUCAUAAGUGAAGGAGAAAUAAAAUCCUUUACAGACAAGCAAAUGCUGAGAGAUUUUGUCACCACCAGGCCUGCCUUACAAGAGCUCCUGAAAGAAGCACUAAACAUGGAAAGGAACAACCAGUACCAGCCACUGCAAAAUCAUGCCAAAUUGUAAAGACCAUCGAUGCUAGGAAGAAACUAUAUCAACUAACGGGCAAAAUAACCAGUUAACAUCAUAAUGACAGGAUCAAAUUCACAUAUAACAAUAUUAACCUUAAAAGUAAAUGGGCUAAAUGCGCGAAUUAAAAGACACAGACUGGCAAAUUGGAUAAAGAGUCAAGACCCAUUAGUGUGCUGUAUUCAGGAGACCCAUCUCAUGUGCAGAGAUACACAUAGGCUCAAAAUAAAGGGAUGGAGGAAGAUCUACCAAGCAAAUCAAAAGCAAAAAAAAAGCAGGGGUUGUAAUCCUAGUCUCUGAUGAAACAGACUUUAAACCAACAAAAGAUCAAAAGAGACAAAGAAGGCCAUUACAUAAUGGUAAAGAGAUCAAUGCAACAAGAAGAGCUAACUAUCCUAAAUAUAUAUGCACCAAUACAGAAGCACCCAGAUUCAUACAGCAAGUCCUUAGAGACCUACAAAGAGACUUGGACUCCCACACAAUAAUAAUGGGAGACUUUAACACCCACUGUCAAUAUUAGACAGAUUAACAAGACAGAAGGUUAACAAGGAUAUCCAGGACUUGAACUCAGCUCUGCACCAAGCAGACCUAAUAGACAUCUACAGAACUCUCCACCCCAAAUCAACAGAAUCUAUUCUUCUCAACACCACAUAGCACUUAUUCCAAAAUUGACCAGACAGUUGGAAGUAAAGCACUCCUCAGCAAAUGU